rnacentral:rRNA from 1 species
GGGCUGGCCGGGCGGUCCGCCGUUUCGGUGAGUACUGCCUUUCGGCCGGUCCUUUCCUUCUGGUCAACCGGUGUGCCCUUCAGUGGGUGUGCCGGGGAGCCAGGACUUUUACCUUGAAAAAAUUAGAGUGUUUAAAGCAGGCAUCCGCUUGAAUACAUUAGCAUGGAAUAACAGAAUAAG